rnacentral:rRNA from 1 species
UACGGAGGGAGCUAGCGUUGUUCGGAAUUACUGGGCGUAAAGCGCGUGUAGGCGGCUUUGUAAGUUAGAGGUGAAAGCCCGGGGCUCAACCCCGGAACUGCCUUUAAGACUGCAUCGCUUGAAUCCGGGAGAGGUGAGUGGAAUUCCGAGUGUAGAGGUGAAAUUCGUAGAUAUUCGGAAGAACACCAGUGGCGAAGGCGGCUCACUGGACCGGUAUUGACGCUGAGGUGCGAAAGCGUGGGGAGCAAACAGG